GGAGCCCGCCGGGACCGGUGCGACCCAGCAGCACGGCGGAGCCGGGACGUGCCUGAAGCGCCGGGAGGAAAGACCAGCCGGGGAUAAACGCCGCGGGGGCAGCGGGCGGGAAGGAGCCCCCCGGCGCUGAGGGGAAGUAUCAUCUUCAACUCAUUCACCUGAAAAUCCCUUAACAAGUUAAGAUGCACCAAGGCCUACCGAAAGUGGACCUUAAUAUUCCUCUAUAUAUGUCAUUGCUCUGCCCUUCUGCUACACUGACGUGCUUGGUGGAAACGUUGCAGUUCCCUGGCUGGACAAACUGUGUCACGCCUGUCAGCGACAGAAGUUCUGUACAGUGCUGCUUUCUCGCUGCAGGAGGCAACGUGUGCAGCCAAGCAGUUUUAGCCGUGUAACUGCCACAUCAGCAGGACAGGGGAGAAGGAUGCCUGACAACUAGAAGAAGACAAGGAGGCCAGGAGGAGAGAGGAUGUAAGAGGACUUGAGAGAAAAAGUAUAGAAGUACCGGCUAAGAAAUACAUGGAUGACCAGUUACUACAGCAGCAGCAGAAUGUGCCUGCUAUGGCUACUACUUCUAAAACAAAACAAAAGGAAACAGCAGAAAUAAAAAACCAGUCACUGGCAAGAAUAUCUCCUUGCUGUAAAUUGGAUAGGUUUUAAAAAAUUGACAGCACUGUUCCUUCUGUUCUGAACAGGAGAUCUCCAGGUCCAGAACAACUCAUCAUAAAGAUACUUCCUUAAUUAGAGUAGAAGUCACAUAUUUUGGGUCCACAUGAAGGUAAUAAGUGGUAGCAGUUAUAUGAAAUUAGAGGCAGGUGUGGUUACUAACAAAAGCAGAAGUAAAAACAAGUAACAUGCCAGGUGCUGAAGAAACUCCCAGAUAGGAAGUUUUGCGUACACUGUGAGCCCAAAUCUAAUCUGAUCUGAAGCUGAAAUUUGACUGCUAGUCCAAACCAUAUAUGUUUUUGCAUUUUGAAUGCAGGGAGAUUGUAAGUAUAUGCUUACUUCUGAGAGUAGUCCUCCAGAGAUUUGCUUUGUUUCCUUAUAGAAUAUGAAGGUAAGUCAGCAUAUUGCCCAUAAAGUGUUUUUUUUUUUUUUUUUUUUUUAACAACUACUGACAUCAUAAUUUGGCAAAUUGAUCUUAAAAAGAUUAAGUAGCUAUGCUGUGGUAAAAUAAAACAUCCAUUUCCCCUAAAAAAAUAUUUCCUGAUGCAUAUGCAACAAGUGUUACUAAUGAAGGAGAAAAUAAAUCAUUUAAAUCCCCGGGACUUAAUGUUGAAGUACUUUUCUUUUUCAGUAAGUAGCUAAAAAAGCAGAAGAGCACACAGACAAGGAAUCAUUUUACUGAAAAGAACUAGUUUUAAUUCCAGUAAUUUAGGGAAUCGAGUGAAUACCUCCUGAAAUAAGUAUUCUACAGUCAUUUUAGAUCAUUGGUUUGUGGUUUUUAUUGCCAAGUAAUAGUAAAAUUGAGCAAAUAAGUAUAUUUCUAGUACUUCAGCCUCAGAAUGUCUCCCACAGGAAGCAACAUGAAAAUAAUUUGGCUAGUAGUUCCUUUAUUUGUUGAUCCUCAGCUUCUUUGCAGGUCACGUUAAAUAAAGAGGCAAUAGCAAAAGGCAGUGUUUUUCAUGAAUUACUCAAGUCAAAUGAGCCAGAUGUGGCAGAACUAAGAAAUAGCAGGGCCUGAUACACUCUUUUGUUAAUUCCACUAAUUCUAGCUUAAUACUGGAGUAACACUGGUAAAAAGCGACCCAUAUUUUAAUUUAAAACCUCUAAUAUUCAUCUAUUAUUUAUAAGAAUAUAUAACAAAUAAUUGUGGCAAACAUUGCAUAAUAAACAUGAAAGGGAGAUUAACCUUGUGAAUUUUUAAGCUGAAGAAUAAAGACCAUUACAU
rnacentral:lncRNA from 7 species